rnacentral:rRNA from 1 species
GAGGUGUGGGUAGCGGAGAAAUUCCAAUCGAACUUGGAGAUAGCUGGUUCUCUCCGAAAUAGCUUUAGGGCUAGCCUCAAGUGAUGAUUAUUGGAGGUAGAGCACUGUUUGGACGAGGGGCCCCUCUCGGGUUACCGAAUUCAGACAAACUCCGAAUGCCAAAUAAUUUAACUUGGGAGUCAGACUAUGGGUGAUAAGGUCCGUAGUCGAAAGGGAAACAGCCCAGACCACCAGCUAAGGUCCCAAAAUAUAUGUUAAGUGGAAAAGGAUGUGGCGUUGCCCAGACAACUAGGAUGUUGGCUUAGAAGCAGCCAUCAUUUAAAGAGUGCGUAAUAGCUCACUAGUCGAGUGACACUGCGCCGAAAAUGUACCGGGGCUAAACAUAUUACCGAAGCUGUGGAUUAUCCGUAAGGAUAAUGGUAGGAGAGCGUUCUAAACGUGUCGAAGCAUGAUCGUAAGGACAUGUGGAAUGUUUAGAAGUGAGAAUGCCGGUGUGAGUAGCGAAAGAUGGGUGAGAAUCCCAUCCACCGAUUGACUAAGGUUUCCAGAGGAAGGCUCGUCCGCUCUGGGUUAGUCGGGACCUAAGCCGAGGCCGAUAGGCGUAGGCGAUGGAUAACAGGUAGAUAUUCCUGUACCACCUAUGAUUGUUUGAACGAUGGGGGGACGCAGUAGGAUAGGCGAAGCGUGCUGUUGGAGUGCACGUCCAAGCAAUAAGACUGAGUGUUAGGCAAAUCCGGCACUCGUAAGGUUGAGUUGUGAUGGGGAGUUGGAUCAUGUAUCCGACGAGUCGUUGAUUUCACACUGCCAAGAAAAGCCUCUAGUUAGAAAAUAGGUGCCCGUACCGCAAACCGACACAGGUAGUCAAGAUGAGAAUUCUAAGGUGAGCGAGCGAACUCUCGUUAAGGAACUCGGCAAAAUGACCCCGUAACUUCGGGAGAAGGGGUGCUUUUUAGGGUGCAAGCCUUGAAGAGCCGCAGUGAAUAGGCCCAAGCGACUGUUUAUCAAAAACACAGGUCUCUGCUAAACCGUAAGGUGAUGUAUAGGGGCUGACGCCUGCCCGGUGCUGGAAGGUUAAGAGGAGUGGUUAGCUUCUGCGAAGCUACGAAUCGAAGCCCCAGUAAACGGCGGCCGUAACUAUAACGGUCCUAAGGUAGCGAAAUUCCUUGUCGGGUAAGUUCCGACCCGCACGAAAGGCGUAACGAUUUGGGCACUGUCUCAACGAGAGACUCGGUGAAAUCAUAGUACCUGUGAAGAUGCAGGUUACCCGCGACAGGACGGAAAGACCCCGUGGAGCUUUACUGUAGCCUGAUAUUGAAAUUUGGCACAGCUUGUACAGGAUAGGUAGGAGCCUUUGAAACGUGAGCGCUAGCUUACGUGGAGGCGCUGGUGGGAUACUACCCUGGCUGUGUUGACUUUCUAACCCGCACCAUUUGAUCAUGGUGGGAGACAGUGUCAGGCGGGCAGUUUGACUGGGGCGGUCGCCUCCUAAAGAGUAACGGAGGCGCUCAAAGGUUCCCUCAGAAUGGUUGGAAAUCAUUCGCAGAGUGUAAAGGCACAAGGGAGCUUGACUGCGAGACCUACAAGUCGAGCAGGGUCGAAAGACGGACUUAGUGAUCCGGUGGUUCCGCAUGGAAGGGCCAUCGCUCAACGGAUAAAAGCUACCCCGGGGAUAACAGGCUUAUCUCCCCCAAGAGUUCACAUCGACGGGGAGGUUUGGCACCUCGAUGUCGGCUCAUCGCAUCCUGGGGCUGUAGUCGGUCCCAAGGGUUGGGCUGUUCGCCCAUUAAAGCGGUACGCGAGCUGGGUUCAGAACGUCGUGAGACAGUUCGGUCCCUAUCCGUCGUGGGCGUAGGAAAUUUGAGAGGAGCUGUCCUUAGUACGAGAGGACCGGGAUGGACAUACCUCUGGUGUACCAGUUGUCGCGCCAGCGGCAUAGCUGGGUAGCUAUGUAUGGACGGGAUAAGUGCUGAAAGCAUCUAAGCAUGAAGCCCCCCUCAAGAUGAGAUUUCCCAACUUCGGUUAUAAGAUCCCUCAAAGAUGAUGAGGUUAAUAGGUUCGGGGUGUAAGCGCAGUAAUGUGUGUAGCUGACGAAUACUAAUCGAUCGAAGACUUAAUCAAAUUUUA